rnacentral:rRNA from 1 species
CCUACGGGUGGCUGCAGUGGGGAAUAUUGGACAAUGGGCGAAAGCCUGAUCCAGCCAUGCCGCGUGUGUGAAGAAGGCCUUCGGGUUGUAAAGCACUUUCAGUGGGGAAGAAAGCCUUGGGGCUAAUACCCUCGAGGAAGGACAUCACCCACAGAAGAAGCACCGGCUAACUCCGUGCCAGCAGCCGCGGUAAUACGGAGGGUGCGAGCGUUAAUCGGAAUUACUGGGCGUAAAGCGCGCGUAGGCGGUCUGAUAAGCCGGUUGUGAAAGCCCCGGGCUCAACCUGGGAACGGCGUCCGGAACUGUCAGGCUAGAGUGCAGGAGAGGAAGGUAGAAUUCCCGGUGUAGCGGUGAAAUGCGUAGAGAUCGGGAGGAAUACCAGUGGCGAAGGCGGCCUUCUGGACUGACACUGACGCUGAGGUGCGAAAGCGUGGGUAGCAAACAGGAUUAGAUACCCGAGUAGUC